UACGUAGGGGGCAAGCGUUGUCCGGAAUUAUUGGGCGUAAAGCGCGCGCAGGCGGUUUAUUAAGUCUGAUGUGAAAGCCCACGGCUCAACCGUGGAGGGCCAUUGGAAACUGGUAGACUUGAGUGCAGGAGAGGAGAGCGGAAUUCCUGGUGUAGCGGUGAAAUGCGUAGAUAUCAGGAGGAACACCCGUGGCGAAGGCGGCUCUCUGGCCUGUAACUGACGCUGAGGAGCGAAAGCGUGGGGAGCGAACAGG
rnacentral:rRNA from 1 species